GGAAUUUUGCGCAAUGGGGGAAACCCUGACGCAGCAACGCCGCGUGAGUGAUGAAGGCUUUCGGGUCGUAAAGCUCUGUCAAGUGGGAAGAACCCCCGUGGUGCUAAUACCACCAUGGGCUGACGGUACCACUGAAGGAAGCACCGGCUAACUCCGUGCCAGCAGCCGCGGUAAUACGGGGGGUGCAAGCGUUAUUCGGAAUCACUGGGCGUAAAGCGCGCGCAGGCGGCCGUUUAAGUCAGAUGUGAAAGCCCGGGGCUCAACUCCGGAAGUGCAUUUGAUACUAUUCGGCUUGAGUAUGGGAGAGGGAAGUGGAAUUCCUGGUGUAGAGGUGAAAUUCGUAGAUAUCAGGAGGAACACCGGUGGCGAAGGCGACUUCCUGGACCAAUACUGACGCUGAGGCGCGAAGGCGUGGGGAGCAAAC
rnacentral:rRNA from 1 species